UACGUAGGGGGCGAGCGUUGUCCGGAAUCAUUGGGCGUAAAGCGCGCGUAGGUGGCCUCAUAAGUCCGCUGUGAAAGUCAAAGGCUCAACCUUUGAAAGCCGGUGGAUACUGUGAGGCUAGAGUACGGAAGAGGCGAGUGGAAUUCCUGGUGUAGCGGUGGAAUGCGCAGAUAUCGGGAGGAACACCUAUGGCGAAGGCAGCUCGCUGGGACGUGACUGACGCUGAGACGCGAAAGCGUGGGGAGCAAACAGG
rnacentral:rRNA from 1 species